rnacentral:rRNA from 1 species
UUUGACAUGCAAGUGUGGAACCGAAAGGUGACCGACCCUUCGGGGAGCUUGCACAGGUGCUGCAUGGCUGUCGUCAGCUCGUGUCGUGAGAUGUUCGGUUAAGUCCGCUAACGAGCGCAACCCUCGCUGUGUGUUAUAUGUGUCACACGGGACUGCCGGUCUUAAGCCGGAGGAAGGUGGGGAUGAUGUCAAGUCAGCAUGGCCUUUAUAUCCUGGGCUACACACACGCUACAAUGGCCAACACAAUAGGUUGCUAAGCCGCGAGGUGGCGCCAAUCCAUAAAGUUGGUCUCAGUUCAGAUUGUAGGCUGCAACCCGCCUGCAUGAAGAUGGAGUUGCUAGUAACCGCAGGUCAGCUAUACUGCGGUGAAUACGUUCCCGGGGCUU